CUUGUUCAUCUGGCUCUCCCCACCCUCCUACUUUCAGACUUAUCCUUCUAGGUCAGCAAAUCUGGAGAGCCUCUCCUCUUGAUCUAGGGUCAUUAUUACAAUGAAGGGAAGAAAGGAAGACAUGAAGGGGAAAUGGGACUAUUUACCAAGUGUAUCUGCAUAGACUAAAGGAGACAAGAGGAAGUACUGAGCACCUUGAUUCCUGCAGAUAAUUAUUUAAGAACCAUAAGAAUUCUUUCCUAGCUUCUCAUAAGCCUGCUCCUUCAAAGGGUUAACUGCAGUGAAUCAAACUAUUGGAUUAUAAUUCCAUGAAGUAAGUUUAUUGAAGACAAACAGGCCUUGGGCCGCUGCCUCUGUCUCUCCUGCCUUCCCCACUGAAUCUCCAGCCCACAUUCACAAACAAAGACAAACCUGUGUAAACUGAAGCACCACAAAACUACUUUUAUGAAAGCAGAAUGGAAGCAGAUUUCACCUGCAUUUCCUACAUUCAACUGAAUCCUUUAAAUUGACUGAGGCACAUCCUGUACCAAGGAGAGACCUUUGUUACUGCCUUUGAUCCUGAGACCUUCUGAGCCAGCCUCCUUGGUAUAACCACGCAUUUACGGAAGAUGACGUUACCAGCAGCCCUGGGGCGCAGUCAACAGCAGUGGAAGAGCUGGCUCAUGUGUGGCUCAGGCUGACUCCACAAUCAGAGUGAUUAUGUGGAAAUCAAUCAGAAUUUUCUUCUUAGAAGAUGUUUGUUCUGACAUAAUGACUGACUUUCCAGCUAAUUUUUAUUCAUAGGCUUCUCCUUGCACAAUGAUCUCUAUUUCUCUCAAUGUUAUUCUGUGUCUUUCUUGCUUGCCUGCACAUUCUGAAAAAAAAAGGAAAGCAAUUCCCUACAUUUUAUUUUGAUACUUAAUGUUGUUUGCUAACAUAUUCAGAACACAAUGCAACUUUAUAUAUUAGAGCACUUAUAAUAUAUAUUAGGAAAACAUCAAUUAGGUACCACCAGUUAUUUUAGACAGGUAUCUCUUAGGUAAAAUGUGGUGAAAAUAGAGGGGCAAUGAUAGAAUUCAUAUGUGAAAGAGUCAAUUGGCCAUCAUUAUGCCAAAAUUAUUUUGUGGUUCAGGGGACAUUUUAAACUUUAAUUUUUAAGAAUUAAACUUUAAUUAAAUUUAUUGUAGUUUAAAUGCAAUCACAAGGAAAGACUCUGAACUGGAAACACCAAGCCAAGCUCUUUCCUAGUUCUGGUCCCCUAUAAACCCUGAAAGUUAAUGCAAUUAUUGUAAUUUUUAAACCACCGAGUUCUCAGGGUGAUUAGUUAUGCAGCAAUAGAUAGCCUGAAAAGGACCAUUCUUUCUGGCACUGAAAAUUAAGAAGAGUGAUUAACAACAUAAGAAUGUAGUUUGUGCUGUCUGCCACAGAUUUAUGUUGUAGCUUCAGUGAUUGCUUCAAAGCACCCUUACUAAUUGCCAGCCUAUUGCUGAUACCUAGCUAAAUUAGCAUGUGUUAGUUUUGAUACCACUAUAGGCAUUUAAAGGAUAGCUGAUACAUUCUAUAUAAAAUAUAAUUAUUUUCCUAUCUUUAGUUUAUCCUAAAGUAGCAGCUAUUAUAUUCGCUUCUUGAUUAGCUUUAUACAUAACCAGAGAAAGUAAAAUAUCACAGAGUAUAUUUGAAGACAUAAAAGUCUUUGGACAAAGCUCAAGUAAUGAAUCAGGAUGCUAUUACAUCCUCCACAUGACAGUAAAUAUAUUUUAUAUUCCUAAAUUUUAAGCUUUUAACAAAAGCAAAUUUUAUACUGGACUAUUUCAAUUUCUAGGGAAAGGAAAUUAUCAUUUACUGUCUUUGAGGCUAUAAUCUAUUUAGCCAUUAUUUUUAUAUUGAUCAAUUUAUAAUAAAGGUAAGAGAAAAUACUACCACAUAUAUGUUGUUUAUAUAAUUUUAACUUUCAUAAUUAAAAUACUGGGUAUACUGCAAGAUGUCAAUAUUUAUAAUAGCUUAUAUUUGGAAACAAUUAUACUUUAUAUACUCCUAA
rnacentral:lncRNA from 1 species